GUGCUCACUUCCGCAGCACAUCUACUAAAAUUGAAACUAAACAGAGAAGAUUAGCAUGGCCCCUGAGCAAAGAUGAGAAGGGCUGAGGCAAGAGAGCCUUUCUU